AAAUAGGGUUCAAUUUUUUUUCCCCCAUGGGCAGCGCGAACGAUAGGAGUGAAGGGAAAACAGUGGGGCGAUGUCACGUUUCACAAAGAGUAACAGUUUCUUAUCACAGGAGAGAUGAAAUCCUGCUUUAAAGGUCUUAAUAUCAAUAAGAAGUAGUGCAGGAACAAAGAGCAAGAUGCUAGCAGACAUAAUAGUCAUUAGCCAGAAGGACACUGCUGACCCACACAACUCGUGGGAGGCGACGCCGAAACCCGCUCGGCGAAACCGACGAAGCGGCAUCCACUUAACACAAAACGAACGUGUAUCACCUUAUUAACCAACUAUCAAAGCAAGCCAGCGAGAGUCAGGCUAACAGAGGGAGGCUGCAUCAAACACUCACACAUAAAAGCAAACUGAUCAUGUUUAUUGUCUUGUCUGCACCUAUAUUGUGUUGUCAAGUGGGAACGCGCAAACCCCAUCGCCUUUAACGUCGGAGGCCUCGCCAAAAAAAAAAAAGAGCCGACUGCGUUUCAGAGUAGUUGUGAUGUCUUAUUACAGUUAGUCGCAGUGACAGUCUAAAGCAAAUCAAUCACUAAACUGAAACACGGCGCUUAUUCACGCGGAGAAGCGGCAGCGGCGGGUGCCUUGUCGAAGCGUUUCAAACGUGCGGCACGACGCCAUGACCCUAAAAAUCUUAAAUCAGCCGUCGCUGCUGACAAAUGGGAUUAGACGUCACGAGUCGGGAGCAGAAAGAGCCGCCGCGCUUGAGGAUUGACUGACUGACUGAACGUCUCGCUUUGUAAUGUAUCAAUUCAGCCUGUCUGAUUGAGGCAAUCAGUAACAACACGCGGAAUCAUCUCGAGAAGCUCUGCAGGUGUCGACAAACAAACUUUUCCUCCCUGGAGGGUUUGUCAUGUGCGUCUUUAAGCGAGCCAUGCAGGACUGGAAAUGCUGCAGUCGGGUAAAGCUCUGCCAAGAAGGAAGCCUUCCGAGGCCGGAUCCGUCUCCGGUUGACGCCGUGAUUACUUUAUUACUUGGACGACUUGUCUUCCGCUAUUGACCCGCUGUUUAAUGGCAUUUUUUAUCAUCAGUUAAGCUGCACUUUAUUGCUCUUAUUGUCAAGGCUUCCAAUUAGUUGUCAGACGUCUUAUCAUUCAAGCUAAAACAUUAGCUGUCAGCCUGGAGAAUUACCCCCCCUGAAUUCAGGAGUCAAUUUUGGGAGCCGUUAGCUUCUUCAUUAGCCUUCAAAAAACGAACUGUGAUAGCUGCGUUGAUGAAACGUUUACUUGUCAAUAUAUAUUAAGUCUUUCACAAAUCAUAGUAAUGUACAGUUUUAUGUAGUGACAGGUUGCUACAGUAAUAAAAUGCUGGGAAAUAGAUGGGGUUUGUUUUCUUAGCAUUGCUAGUAGCGGUUAGCCUAAUAGGGUACAGGUUAGCAGGUGAUUCUAACUCUACAUGUCAGCAACUUUGAGAAUGUAAAUGUAGUUAAAUAGACAGACUUUAUUAUAAACUCUUACUUCAAAUCACAUAAAAAUAAUCGAUAAUAAAAAAAGAAGAGGACAUAAAAAUGGAUAUAGUAAUUAUUUGUAGAGAAAAACACAUGAGUUUGCCACAUACCAUUGUUUUUAUUCAUAUAUUCUGAACAAUACCCUUGUGUGUGAUAUAUGUAAUUUAAAGUUUUCUUUAGGAUUACUCAAAAUAAUGCUCAAGUUUAACCUGUAAAAGCUAAUUUAGUCAAUUUACCCCCCACAAGACCACUUUUUUAAUAAAGUCAUAUUC